GUGGGGAAUAUUGGACAAUGGGGGAAACCCUGAUCCAGCGACGCCGCGUGAGUGAAGAAGUAUUUCGGUAUGUAAAGCUCUAUCAGCAAGGAAGAAAAUGACGGUACUUGACUAAGAAGCUCCGGCUAAAUACGUGCCAGCAGCCGCGGUAAUACGUAUGGAGCAAGCGUUAUCCGGAUUUACUGGGUGUAAAGGGAGCGUAGACGGCAUAGCAAGUCUGAAGUGAAAUCCCAUGGCUUAACCAUGGAACUGCUUUGGAAACUGCCAGGCUAGAGUGCAGGAGAGGUAAGCGGAAUUCCUAGUGUAGCGGUGAAAUGCGUAGAUAUUAGGAGGAACACCAGUGGCGAAGGCGGCUUACUGGACUGUAACUGACGUUGAGGCUCGAAAGCGUGGGGAGCAAACAGG
rnacentral:rRNA from 1 species